rnacentral:rRNA from 1 species
AGCGAACGCUGGCGGCAUGCCUAACACAUGCAAGUCGCACGGGGGGGCUUCGGCCUCCCAGUGGCGGACGGGUGAGGAACGCGUAGGGACCUGUCGAGGGGUGGGGGAUAACCGCGGGAAACUGCGGCUAAUACCGCAUGACGCCGCGGCGUGACAGCCGGGGCCAAAGGCGAAAGCCGCCCGCCGAGGGGCCUGCGUCCGAUUAGCUGGUUGGCGGGGUAGCGGCCCACCAAGGCGUCGAUCGGUAGCUGGUCUGGGAGGGUGAUCAGCCACACCGGGACUGAGACACGGCCCGGACUCCUACGGGAGGCAGCAGUGGGGAAUAUUGGACAAUGGGCGCAAGCCUGAUCCAGCAAUGCCGCGUGGGUGAAGAAGGUCUUCGGAUUGUAAAGCCCUUUCGGCGGGGACGAUGGUGACGGUACCCGCAGAAGAAGCCCCGGCUAACUUCGUG